AUUGAACGCUGGCGGCAUGCCUUACACAUGCAAGUCGAACGGCAGCACGGGAGCAAUCCUGGUGGCGAGUGGCGAACGGGUGAGUAAAGUAUCGGAACGUGCCCAGUCGUGGGGGAUAACGUAGCGAAAGUUACGCUAAUACCGCAUACGAUCUAUGGAUGAAAGCGGGGGAUCGCAAGACCUCGCGCGAUUGGAGCGGCCGAUAUCAGAUUAGGUAGUUGGUGGGGUAAAGGCUGACCAAGCCGACGAUCUGUAGCUGGUCUGAGAGGACGACCAGCCACACUGGGACUGAGACACGGCCCAGACUCCUACGGGAGGCAGCAGUGGGGAAUUUUGGACAAUGGGCGAAAGCCUGAUCCAGCCAUGCCGCGUGCAGGAUGAAGGCCAUCGGGUUGUAAACUGCUUUUGUACGGAACGAAAAGGUUUGGGCUAAUAAGCUGAGCUCAUGACGGUACCGUAAGAAUAAGCACCGGCUAACUACGUGCCAGCCGCCGCGGUAA
rnacentral:rRNA from 1 species